UACGGAGGGUGCAAGCGUUAUCCGGAUUCACUGGGUUUAAAGGGUGCGUAGGUGGGUUGGUAAGUCAGUGGUGAAAUCCCCGAGCUUAACUUGGGAACUGCCAUUGAUACUAUCAGUCUUGAAUACCGUGGAGGUCAGCGGAAUAUGUCAUGUAGCGGUGAAAUGCUUAGAUAUGACAUAGAACACCAAUUGCGAAGGCGCUGGCACUCGGAUAUGACACUGAGGCACGAAAUGCGUGGGGAUCAACAGG
rnacentral:rRNA from 1 species